CUCCGUGCGUACCUCAUAGCCGCGCCCGCUCUCUCUGAUCGCCAUGUGGUUCUCACGCGUAUGAACCACCCCGGGACUCCCUCGCUCUCCUCUUCCAAUUUCCUGCCUCGCCUCACGGGAUAGAGCUCGAAAUCGAGCGCAGCGACCCCGGUGAACUCCGCCAUCCUGAGCAGCGCCAAUGUGAAAUUCUCCCGCCUCGGACCGCACCAAAUCGAGCUCCCCAGCAAAACCAAUCUCGCCAGAGCAUAUCGUCACGGCCGCAUGUUCAUCCGCCCACCAUCGUCGCUACAGGACGCACCGGGACUCCUUGAGGACACCAAAGAUUGCUCGGAGCGUGACGAGUACAAUUAUCAGGAUUGUGAGUGCGACGAUCUUCAUCAAACUUACAG